AUUGAACGCUGGCGGCAGGCUUAACACAUGCAAGUCGAGCGAGCUGCGGACGGGUGAGUCGUGUCUGGGAAACUGCCUGACGGAGGGUGAUAACUACUGGAAACGGUAGCUAAUACCGCAUAACAUCAGAUGUGCCCAGAUGGGAUUAGCUCGUAGGUGGGGUAAUGGCUCACCUAGGCGACGAUCCCUAGCUGUGCUGAGAGGAGGACCAGCCACACUGGAACUGAGACACGGUCCAGACUCCUACGGGAGGCAGCAGUGGGGAAUAUUGCACAAUGGGCGCAAGCCUGAUGCAGACAUGCCGAGUGGGUGAAGAAGGCGUUCGGGUUGUAAAGCACUUUCAGCGAGGAGGCGUUACUCGCAGAAGAAGCACCGGCUAACUCCGUGCCAGCAGCCGCGGUAAUUC
rnacentral:rRNA from 1 species